rnacentral:rRNA from 1 species
GACGAACGCUGGCGGCGUGCCUAACACAUGCAAGUCGAACGGGGUUAAGAGCUUCGGCUUUUAACUUAGUGGCGAACGGGUGAGUAACGCGUGAGAAACCUGCCUUUCAGUGGGGGACAACAGUUGGAAACGACUGCUAAUACCGCAUAAUGUAUAACCGAGGCAUCUCGGAUAUACCAAAGGAGCAAUCCGCUGUAAGAUGGACUCGCGUCCAAUUAGGUAGUUGGUGGGGUAACGGCCCACCAAGUCGACGAUCAGUAGCCGGACUGAGAGGUUGGCCGGCCACAUUGGGACUGAGAUACGGCCCAGACUCCUACGGGAGGCAGCAGUGGGAAUAUUGGGCAAUGGGACGCAAGCCUGACCCAGCAAUGCCGCGUGAAGGAGAAGGC